UCUUUCCCAACACUGGAGGUGAAAUCAAAACCAAUUUUUCGUAUUAUUUAAAAUCAGUUUUUCUCAUAUUUACAGUAAUCAUUAUAAAAAAAAAUCAGAUUCCUUUUUUCAAUUUCAAUUGGUAACUUAAGAAAAGCUUUUAAAAUGUGCAUCAAGUGUGCUUUCUGCAUAUAUGUAAGAGUCUGAGAAUGGCUUGUUUCACAAAAGUUUAAUCAUAACUAAUCUGAACAUUUUCGUAGAAAUUCUCUUUAAUUUACUAUGGAAGGUCCACCUGAGUGUUAAGCGAUUAAUAAUCAUGCAACAAUUAAUUAAGAGGAUUAUUACAUAUUUGUCACCUUCAGAGAAUUAUAAGUGAUUUCGAAGUGUUAAUCGCUACAAACACAGUAUCGGCAUAGCCUACGACAGUGGUAAGCAGUUGUAGCUAAGGAUCAUACAGAGCAAAUCAAAAGGAAAAGAAUUUGAUUAAACUAUUCCCCUUUUUUAGGGUACAAAGUCAAAAGUGUUUUUUGAGCAGCCUUACUAUUGUGUCAGCAAAGGAUGUCGGUUUUAUGAUGUUGUUUCUUGUGUUAUUAAAGCCUAAUUUAGAUUGUCUAUAACAUUUUACUUGCUUACAUGAGAAGCAGGAAAAAACAUGAUUAUGGGAAAUAUCACUUUUGGGGCCCCAGAAGGCUUGUAGUUUAUGUGAUAGACAGGCCUCACUUACGAGUUUUCUCGCUGAUUUAAAACAGCGAGAUGCAUUUAUCAUUAAACAUGGAAGCUAAUUUACAAGUUUUGUCGCUUGCAUUUCUUAAAUUCUUUCUCACAAAAGUAUAAGAUACACUUGUAUAUAAAUAUGUACCCUUUGUACUCAGUAUGACACACAUUUUGACCAAAUAAUUCAUCAAUUCCAGAAAAUGUUAAAAGGAUAUUUCAGUCUCCAGUAUAAAAAAUAUAGUAAUAGCAUUGUACAAUAUACGGUUGUAAAGUUAGUUGAAAUCUAUAAUUCUCAUGCAGCUGUUUUAACAAACAUUUCAUUGCUUUUUUUUUUUUUUUUUUUUUUUCAUACAACCUACUCCUUAAAACUUACUCAGCAGAGGAUGUUUUACAGGUGUUGUAUAUUUAAGGAUUUCUUUACUUCAAGCCUUGCCAUCACACACUAAACUUUGCAUCUGCAAAAGGAACUUCUCACUGCCAUUCUUUCAACAAUUUUAAUAACUGUCUUAUUAAACAACUUUCGCAGUUAAAUAUAUUUGGUGGCACGGCUAUGAACUUUCUUUUACUCUUAACUCAUUUUAUGCUAGCCAUUCCCGGAAUUUCUUUCUACAGUAAAAACAAAAGGCUUAAUGCACAUUGUUUAAAUUAGAUGCUUAUUUUGGGCAAUUACGAUAACUGAACGCAUAAGACGAACACGGGACUUGUUACCAAAGAUUUUAAUCAGCUUUCGCGGUAAGCAUUUUAGGAAGCCAAUAUCGCUGCUAAAAACAAGAGCUACAAAUGGUAAUGAAACAAUAAACGCAAGCAAUAUUUUCUGAAGAGGUGCAGACAAAAUUUAGUAGAAAUUUAUCCCAGUACAAGGGCUCAUGGUUUUGUUCCAAUCCGUAAAAUCGAAAAGGAAAAGCAAUUUUAAAUACAUCCUGUGCAAUGUUUUCGUGUAACGUAUACAUUAAUAUAUCUUAAUAUUUUAUGUACCUUUCCUCCCAAAAUUCUCAUGUUCCUCAUAUGAUCUGCAGGUCAUUAAUCCGCAAGCAUGCAUCAGAAGCACGUGGUCGAUUUCUCGAAAACAAAAUACAGGGGAAAUCCUCGCACACACACCAAAUCAUCUUUACAGAAUGCAAUCGAGAUUCAGACUUUUCAUAAACAAAAUUACCCAGUGUUUGCAUAUCCUUCUAAACAGGAACAAUACUGGCAAAUAUUUAAAUAUCCACAUGCUCGCGUUUCAUUCUUUGCUACCUUCACAAUCAAAAGGAUGCGGUGCGCGCGAUAAGCGCAGAAGAGCAGGUGCUACGCUGCUGCUCAAUACGCGCAGAGUAGACAGAAUGAUGUUUCUUUCUACAAAUAAUGUUACAACGGGUAGAAAAUGAACCAGCCAGUAAUAAGCCAGCGUUUGUUGCUCGCUCGUAAAAGCGCCACAGGGUUGGUUGUCUCGCUCUCGCUGGUUCCUAUCACGUUCACUUGUCGACUACCCCUGACAAUGAGUCUCCUGAAAGUCGCCAUUACAGCCGGAUCACGGAUCGCGUUACUUACUAUAUUAUAAAAAGCAUACAUUUUAAAUAAUAAAUUUUAUAACCCUGGAUACAAGUCUAAGUCCGAACGAAAUCGUGUCAACAGUCAAAUAGUUAUAACCUUGACCAACUCCUGCAUUCCGAUCUGAGGAGUAACACAGUGCAGCUGCCCUUUUUUUUUUUUUUUUUUUUUUUUUUUUUUUUUAAUUGCCUGCCGAAGGAAAAGAGAUUCCAACGAAUGCAUUGUUGAUCAACGUUAUUAGUACUUGCCUCAGUGUCGCUGACCUUCUGACCUUGGGAUAUCAUACAUUAUAGAUUUAUCAAAAGCGAUACCGAAGGUAACAUGAUGCUUGAAUUUUUGUUGGAAAAACUGUCCAGAUUUUUCAGUCUGCAUCCUGGAGGGAGAAAAAAAAUAAUAAUGAAGUAUAACAUCCAUAAAAUUGGGAAUAUUUAGAUUAACAUUAAGUCAACUACUCAUUUAUAGAAAAAACUAUACAUGCAUUUUUUAACACAUAUAUAUCCACUGUGUAAAUGAAGUCUUUGAAAAUUAAAGCUUUGUAAAAUGCUGCA
rnacentral:lncRNA from 1 species